rnacentral:rRNA from 1 species
UACGUAGGGGGCAAGCGUUGUCCGGAAUCAUUGGGCGUAAAGCGCGUGUAGGCGGCUUGGUAAGUCUGCUCUGAAAGUCCGGGGCUCAACUCCGGAUCUGCGGUGGGUACGGGCAGACUAGAGUGAUGUAGGGGAGACUGGAAUUCCUGGUGUAGCGGUGAAAUGCGCAGAGUAUCAGGAGGAACACCGGUGGCGAAGGCGGGUCUCUGGGCCGUAACUGACGCUGAGGAGCGAAAGCGUGGGGAGCGAACAGG